UACGUAGGGUGCGAGCGUUGUCCGGAAUUAUUGGGCGUAAAGAGCUCGUAGGCGGUCUGUCGCGUCGAUCGUGAAAACUUGGGGCUUAACCCUGAGCUUGCGGUCGAUACGGGCAUGACUGGAGUUCGGCAGGGGAGACUGGAAUUCCUGGUGUAGCGGUGAAAUGCGCAGAUAUCAGGAGGAACACCGGUGGCGAAGGCGGGACUCUGGGCCGAUACUGACGCUGAGGAGCGAAAGCGUGGGGAGCAAACAGG
rnacentral:rRNA from 1 species